rnacentral:rRNA from 1 species
GGGAGGCAGCAGUGAGGAAUCUUGGACAAUGGGCGCAAGCCUGAUCCAGCCAUGCCGCGUGAGUGAUGAAGGCCUUCGGGUUGUAAAACUCUUUUGGCGGGGACGAUAAUGACGGUACCCGCAGAAUAAGCUCCGGCUAACUUCGUGCCAGCAGCCGCGGUAAUACGAAGGGGGCUAGCGUUGUUCGGAAUUACUGGGCGUAAAGCGUGCGCAGGCGGCUUCUCAAGUCAGGGGUGAAAGCCCAGAGCUCAACUCUGGAAUUGCCUUUGAGACUGAGUGGCUUGAGUACGAGAGAGGUGAGUGGAAUUCCCAGUGUAGAGGUGAAAUUCGUAGAUAUUGGGAAGAACACCGGUGGCGAAGGCGGCUCACUGGCUCGUAACUGACGCUCAUGCACGACAGCGUGGGGAUCAAACAGGAUUAGAUACCCGCGUAGUCCC